GUGAAUAACUAUCAAUAAUUAUUCACUACCAUGCUUGAAAAAUAGUAACUCAAGUUGAGUUAGGAAACUUGCCUUUCGCAUUGAUUACUGCUACACAAUAUAAUUAACUGCAUUCGUAAGACCUAUAAUCAAUAAUGUCGGUCUCACAAUUAGUAUAAUAUUUCAUAACACAAAUUACUGUAAUUUACAGUUAAUCUUCCUCCUAGGCACAUUACCAUAUAGCCA
rnacentral:lncRNA from 1 species